UAUGUAGGCGGUUUCGUAAGUUCGGUGUGAAAUCUCCCGGCUUAACUGGGAGGGUGCGCCGAAAACUGCGAGGCUAGAGUGCGGGAGAGGAGAGCGGAAUUCCUGGUGUAGCGGUGAAAUGCGUAGAUAUCAGGAGGAACACCGGCGGUGUAGACGGCUCUCUGGACCGCGACUGACGCUGAGAUACGAAAGCGUGGGGAGCAAACAGGAUUAGAUACCCUGGUAGUCCACGCCUUAAACGAUGGGUACUAGGUGUUCGGGGUGUUGACCCCCUGAGUGCCGCAGUUAACGCAUUAAGUACCCCGCCUGGGGACUACGGCCGCAAGGUUAAA
rnacentral:rRNA from 1 species